AGCGCCAGGCCAUUCUUUCUCUCCCUUGGAUCCGGCCACCGGGCCAUAAAGUCAUUCCAUAUGGCCGGGGGCGGCCCCACUCCCGGGUGCAAACUGCCCAGGCCCUCGAGCCUCACGUGCAGGCACUUCGUCCUGAAGUCUCCAAGUGUUGACACAUCCUUCCGUAGAGGGUCAUGCUCUUGGUUUGAGUGUUGGUGAGGUCACAGUGAACGUCCAAGAAAUCUACUCUUCUAGGAGAUCCCCUGGAAGUUUCAUGUCUAAGCAAGUUGUGUUCCAAUUCACUUAAACUCCCUUCCCCUAAAAAUCCCCUCCCUUCAGUUGGGUCCCGCCUUCUUAUGGUCCUUAAACCAGCCUGUGGCCCCUUCCUUCCCUCGCUUCCCACACUUGGGGCCAAUUCCUCUCUUCCUCCUCCCCUUUCAGUCCCCGCCUUUCCGGGAGCCUCGUGCCGAGGGUCUUUGCCCUAGGCAUCCAGGAGCUGAAGGGGGCGGGGCUGGGUCCUAUCCCUCCUACCCUGCUCAGGCGGGGUAUAAAAAUCUAGGGAACACGCUUUGUGUCCACCGCAGGGUCCGGAGGCGCAAUGGUCACUCGGGAUCGUGCUGAGAAUAGGGACGGCCCCAAGGUGAGAAGUGGGAAGGGAGGGAGCAAGGAGUCCCUGUUCCUGCCGGAGGACUUAAAGGUCCUAACACUGUGGGUUAGGGGUGAGGAUGGAGACGCAGGACUGAAAGGACAGAGGUGCUCGUGCGACCCAAAGAACCUGUAAAGUAUGAAGAGAACAGGGUCAGAGCCGAACUUGUGUGGGUGGCGGAAGCCGAGGU